GUACUGGGAGUACUGGGAAUGGCGCUGAGCCCGCCCCAGACAGCGGGGCUGAGCCCCAGCAGGCAGGGCCCGCUGAGCGGCACGUGCAGCAGGAAGACGCUUUUCUAUCUCAUCGCCACCCUGAACGAGGCGUUCCGGCCCGACUACGACUUCAGCGCCGCCAAGAGCCACGAGUUCAGCCGGGAGCCCAGCCUCAACUGGGUGGUGAACUCGGUGAACUGCAGCCUGUUCC